AACCGGCAUGUCGUGAUCAUUUGGGGGAUACUGGUUUGGAAGGCGUUAACUCCGGGAGGUAGGGACCCACCUACUUGGACCACUGAGAGCCAAGUACAGCCUAGUGGUCAGGAGCCAGCAGCAUCGUCUCUGGCUGUCUUUGACCAGACCCCUUCACCAGCGCCAGCGCCGAGGCGUCUUGCCCGGAAAUUCCCAGAGAGUCAAAGCAAACUUCCCAGGAAAACUCCUCGGCUUCCUCCAAGCCUCUGUCACCGAGGCGGCUGCCAAGAGCGCCAGCGGAGUCUUUGCAGCUGCCGCGGGCCCUCCAGGGCGGGAGCCGCCGCUCGAGCGCUCGGGGUCCUCCCGGAAAGGUCCGGGGCUGAAGUUCAAAAUUCACUUCCCGCCCAGGCCGGGCUCACCGCCCCGCCUGGGACUCUCCGGCAACCCCUACGUCUCCGGCCCUCCCCAGCUCCAGUUAAGUCCUGGAGCGCCUCCAGCCUGAAGACCCAUGCGGGCAGCUGGGCGAAUCCCGCGGGCGAUCCCUGCGCUCCUGGGGACGCGAAGCAGCAAGAGCCGGCGCACACACACAACCUUGUGUGCUGCCACCGCUCUCCACAAGGACCCGGGUUUGCCAGGGAGGAGUCGCCACUGCCCAGCGUUGUUGGAGGUAGGUGAGGGCCCGUCCCUCCUCGAAAAACUUUGCACAGGGUGGAAACUCGCAGGGAAGACAGCCGGUGGGUGCCCAGAAACGUCGGGGCGAGAGUGUCAAACUUCAGAGGGGUGGGGGAGAGGGGCGCGACGGCGCGAUUGCGGCGCGGAGGGGCGCACUUACUACUCAGCCAGGCGCGGGGCUCGGGGCUCGGGGCUCGCGGCUCCGCGCUCCUUCUCCUCCUCCGUGCAGUCCUCGCGGCGCAGCCUGGGCUUCCCGUUCACAUGCCCCCGCGACGCCGCGGGCGGGCCGGGUUGGGGCCGCUGGGCUGGGAGGGGGCACGCCCCCCCGCCGUCGGCCGUGGAGUCGCUGCGGACCCACGGCCACCCUGGGUCCGCGCCCCACGGGGGGCCGCCGUCCGGGGCGGCGAGCUCGGUUCCGGCCGGGCGGCGCCCUCUCCGCCGAGCCAGGCCGCUCUCUGCCCUCUGCCCUCUGCCCUGGGCUUGCGGCCGUCUCCCUGCCUUCCGCGGUCCUGCUCCGCGACUCGCCAGACGCGCCGCCCGCCCUGCUCUCCGGCUCUCGGGCUCUCCGGCUCCAAGCUCAGCUCCUCGGCUCGGUUCGGAGUCAGGGCCUACGAGGCUGACCGCUGAGCUCUGGGCUCAGACCCGGGCUCGCCGCUCCUGGGCCCGGGUUCCAGGACCAGUGCUUAUACAGUCCAGUUCCAAGCCGGGACUGGAGCAGGGCGCUCGCGGCUGGCUGCUGCGAGGCGACUGGACAGCCUAGAGGAGAAAGAGGGAGGGAGACCGAGAGCGCGCAGGGGGAGGAGGGAAGGAGGGAGGGUGGGGACAUGCAGAAGAAGGGAGGGACAGAGAGUUUCCUCCUCCUCCCUGUAGCCGAGUCCAUCCAGGCAUCAACAGCUGGAAACCUCUGUUGGAAAGGGGAAAGCUAAGGUUUCUGGGCGUUGGGGGAGGGUGGAGGUGGAGUGAGGGGUGUAGAGAAGAGAAGAAAGAAGGUGGAUUCCGCUCCCUCCCAUUGCCCAGGUAUGAAGAGUCGCUACAGAGAAUCUUCACUCCUUACACCAAGACCUAAGAAGUUGGUCCAGCUCCGAACCUCCCAACCCCUGCAGACAGAUAGCCUGGAUUCGAGGUUUUUAAAAACCCAGUUUAUACGGACCUCUCUUAAGAACCUGAUCACCUGUAGCUAGAUGGCUUCCUGAUGUCUCCGACCACUCCCUAAUCCUGUCAUUUGCAGCCUCUCAAAUAAAUCUCUUAUUUUUUCCUGUCGUGUUAUAUGG
rnacentral:lncRNA from 13 species